UACGUAGGGGGGCUAGCGUUGUCCGGAAUCAUUGGGCGUAAAGCGCGUGUAGGCGGUCCGGUAAGUCCGCUGUGAAAGUCGAGGGCUCAACCCUCGAAUGCCGGUGGAUACUGUCGGGCUUGAGUACGGGAGAGGCGAGUGGAAUUCCUGGUGUAGCGGUGAAAUGCGCAGAUAUCAGGAGGAACACCGGUGGCGAAGGCGGGUCUCUGGGCAGUAACUGACGCUGAGGAGCGAAAGCGUGGGGAGCGAACAGG
rnacentral:rRNA from 1 species